AGGACGAACGCUUGCGACGUGCCUAAGAAAUGCAAGUCGAACGGACAGUAGCAAUACUGUUAGUGGCGAACGGUCGCGUAACACGUGGGCAACCUGCCCUGAAGCGGGGGACAACAACUCGAAAGAGUUGCUAAUACCGCAUGUGAAUCGCUGUGGCAUCACAGAGGAUUCAAAGCCGCAAGGCACUUCAGGAUGGGCCCGCGGCCUAUCAGCUAGUUGGUGAGGUAACGGCCCACCAAGGCUUCGACGGGUAGCUGGUCUGAGAGGACGAUCAGCCGGAUUGGGACUGAGAUACGGCCCAGACUCCUACGGGGGGCAGCAAUUAGGAAUCUUGCGCAAUGGGCGAAAGCCUGACGCAGCGACGUCGCGUGAAGGAUGAAAUCUUUCGGGAUGUAAACUUCUUUUUCAGCCAUGAAACAAUGACAGUAGCUGAAGAAUAAGCCCCGGCUAACUACGCGCCAGCAGCCGCGGU
rnacentral:rRNA from 1 species